ensembl:lncRNA
CACAAUUCAGGUCUGGACACAUAAUUCAUGCUGCAGUGAUUGGUCCAGGGAUUGUCACAGGGGACCCACGUGGGUCAGUCAGGACCCUAUUCUGUGUUUCUUCUUACUGAAGUUGGAGAGAGAAGUCUUUUUCCUCUGGAGCCAUGAAUGUGGGAUGAGGAGGCAGAGGUCCCCCGCAACAGGAGAGGACAGUCGCUGUGAGAAGAUGAAGCUGGUAAAUCCUGGUCAUGACACAAAAACCCAGAGCAAGUUCUGUCUUCCAGCAAGUUGUUCACCUUCACUCUACUCUUCUUUCUUCUAUAAUAAAACAAGAAGAUUUAACCAGAAUCUGUCUCCAGCAGAAAGGAGAGGGUGGAGUUCUUCGUCCUCCGUCUGAGUCAGGACUAAGAACUCACGGAAGCCAGAGGCACGAAGGCUCUGGAGAGCUGAGACCUUGAUCCGAGCAGGUGCAUUCUGUUUGCUUCUGCGAGUGAUCGCCUUUGAACAUCAGACUCCAGAUUCUCCAGCCUUCGAAGAUGCACGUGUACCAGAGCCUCUUCAGGAAGCUUCCGGGCCUUCAGCCUCAGACUGGGGCUGCAUCACUGGUGCCUCUUCUUCUGAGGUUCUCAGCUUCUUGGCCUGAGCAGCUACUGGUUUCCUCUGCUCUCCAUCCUACAGACAGCCUAUGGACUAUUCAGCAUCUGGUCUUAUAAAUCAGUCCAAUGAAUCCUCUCAUAAUUAUAUGUACAUUCUAUUGGUUCGGCUCCCCUGGAGAACCCUGGCCAACCCAACAGGGACAGAUUUAAUGUGAAGGCAUCUUGUGCUAAGGUAAACAGAUGUGGAAUGGAACCCGAGUCCUCACCUGAAGCACUGGAGAUGAAGUACUGGAGGUGUGGCCGGCCGCAUGCAGAGGGCGCUGGAGGAGCAGCCUGGUGCUCACUCGCACACUGCUGCAGGCCAGAUCGGCAAGAUCAAAGGGGAGUGUCUGACAAAUGUCUGGCCCCUGCCCACCAGCCCUUCACCGUGCCCCGGCUCCACCUGCCUGAAACCCGAGUGCCUGCAGGGAUGCGUGGGCCCUGCCUAGGAGGGUGACUGGUGACGUUUGGUAGCACGGUGUGCUUGGCUUCAUGCAGCAUGUGGCAGGGCAGUGGGUGGCAUGCCAUCGCUCUUCACUUGCUCCAGCAUCUCUCUGAGGAGCUCGGGAUGAGGCUAUCCAUGGCUGGAGAUGCUGGGCAGAUGCGUAGAUACGUGUGUGUAACAUGUGUAUCUUACACAGAUACCUGUAGAAGGAUAUGCACAGCCUCCUGUAUGUCUAAAGAAUAUUUAUGUUAAGGAACUGGCUUACAUAAUUGUGAAAUCAGAAGUCCGCAAGGCUGGCAACACAGGGAAGCAAGGAUGUUGCAGCCCCAUCAGCUGCCAGGCCCCUCUUCCUGAGAGGACAGCACUCGUUGGUCACCAGGCCUCCCACAGUGCAGAGGACCAUCGGUUUCACUUGCAGGAGGCUUACACGUCAACCCCACUGGAAAUGACUUCACAGCAUCAGCCUGAUGCAACUACCAGGUUAUCUGGGCACCAUGAUCUUUCCAAAUUGACAUAUUAAAGUUAACUAGCUUGAGUUGGUGUGGUGCCACAUACAU